UGGCCUUGGGAUACUUGACGGCUGUUUGCUGGCCCCUUGGGGUACGUGCACGCUUGUCAUCUUUAUUUCUCCAACUGUGUACAUCUUGUAGACCUGGGAAGUCAUUGAUUUCUUUCGAGUUGGGACUGCUGUGCUUUUUUCAAGUCAGCUUUGCCUUGCAUCUUUUCAGGUCUAUGUCAUUUUCACAAACCUAUGAAUCUGUUUAGAAUGUUGAAUCAGGUCCUUUUGUACCUAUAAAGUUAUAUAUACAACUUUCAGCAACGGAUCUCUUGGCUCUCGCAUCGAUGAAGAACGCAGCGAAAUGCGAUAAGUAAUGUGAAUUGCAGAAUUCAGUGAAUCAUCGAAUCUUUGAACGCAUCUUGCGCUCCUUGGUAUUCCGAGGAGCAUGCCUGUUUGAGUGUCAUUUAAGUUCUCAACCACAUUGAUUGUUUUUGGUGUGGCUUGGAUUUGGGGGGUUUUCUUUGCAGGCUUUGGAAACGAAGUCUGCUCCCCUGAAAUGCAUUAGUAGUAUCUGAGCAGAAGAAAAAACUACUACAGGUGUGAUAAUUUAUCUAUGCCUUGGUAAAAUGCUGCAUGAACAGAUUGCACUGCUUAUAACGAGUGAGAAACCCCUUUCCUUGGGGGUGCCACAAUUCGAUGAAUUUGACCUCAAAUCAGGUAGGACUACCCGCUGAACUUAAGCAUAUCAAUAAGCGGAGGA
rnacentral:rRNA from 1 species